AUAACAUUUAAAAGAAGAAGAAAAAGAUAAACCAUGGAGUAUUAUUGACAUAACAAAAACUUUAACAAAAAGCAUAGUCAGUGCUUUUCAAGAGUACAAUUUCCAUCCCAAACCAAACUAGAUAUUUUUUUACUUAUUGCAUAGCAGUAUUUAGAAUGUUGUACAUUUUGUCAUGAAUAAGACAGUGGGUUUUCUAUUGGUAGAAAUGACCAUGUGCCACAACACAAUAUUGGUCAGCAAUAUGCUUAACCGAGCUUGCGCGUCACGAAGUGUGCCCUUGUAGGUAUAUUACUAUAGACCACAUACUCCAACGAACGUACAGAGCGCAAAAGCUGUUCCGCCCAAAUUGAAAUCAACUCAAAUGCCUACGUAAUGCUACUAUUAUUAUCAAUAUCCAACUGGCAAUGACUUGAACAAAUGGCUGCAACAAGCUGCAAGGAAGCGAUAGCCAGGUGGGAGCAGAACAAUAAUCAGCAGGCAAUCGAAGCUAAAGUCAUAGAGCUUCAAUUCCAAUUUCCACCAAUAGCGAAGAUGGAUGGAGCUCUCUCUACACUUGUCAAUUGCGAGAAACUGAGUCUUUCGUCCAACAUGAUAGACAAAAUAGCAGGAAUUGGUGGUAUGAAAAACCUCAAGAUUAUCUCCUUGGCACGCAACAAUAUCAAAAGUUUAUCUGGAAUUGAGGCAGUAGCUGCCACACUCGAAGAACUGUGGAUCAGCUACAAUCUAAUAGAUAAACUAAAAGGAAUUAAUGUUAUGCAAAAAUUGAAAGUAUUUUAUAUCUCAAAUAAUCUUAUCAAAGAGUGGGCGGAAGUGGUUAGAUUGCAGGAAUGUCCGAACCUUAAAGAUGUAGUAUUGAUGGGAAAUCCAAUUAUGGAGGCUCAACCAGACAUUGACUCAUGGCGCAAGGACGUUACAACGAGGUUAAAAAACAUAAUUAAACUUGAUGGCAUACCCAUCGUCAGAGAAGAAGAUUAGAAACUGCCAACAAGGAUAUGUCUACUAUGACAUUUUACAGCGCCGUGUAUAACUGAAUGAUCGAUGCAAAAGUCGUGAAUGACAAUCAAAGAAGCCAUCGCCAAGUGGGAGAAAGAUAAAGGCGAAACGGCAACUGAGGCAUUAACAAUAGAGCUGCAAUUUCAAUGGCCACCGAUAGAAAAAAUGGACGGCGCUCUCUCUACACUCACAAACUGCGAGUAAGUAACUAAAGUACCUGCUGCCUAUGGUAUCGGCUAACUGGUACUAAUUUUCUUGAGUUAGAUUAACACUAUUACGUAUUUACAUUUCAACUGAGUGGCUACGGGUCACUCGCUCUGU